AGAGGCCAACUUCAUAGGAUAAUCUCAGAUCUUUCAGUAAGGCAUGCUUCCCAUGUAUAUAUUGGCAGAUAACUGAAAAUGUUGCAUAUCCUUUAAUUUCUAACCAUUUCAAAUUCUUUGGCAAAACAUAUCUGAGGUUUUGUUUUUGCCAUUAUUAUUGUGUUGUAGGAAAUUGUAGUAUACUGCUCUCUACGAAGGUUAUCCAUUGAUGCAAGGAAUGAUAUAUGUUGAGGUUGGAUUUUCAAAUACUGCUUGAAUCCCUGAAUUUUUUCAAGUUGGGUCAGUAUUUGAAAUGCCCAAAGUUGCCUAUACACUACUUAUAUGCACUUGACACCAGUUCUCUGAAUGGGAUAGAACUAGAAGAAAGGAAUCAUACAUGCAAAGC
rnacentral:lncRNA from 1 species